UACAGGUUGAAAAAUGUAAUGGGCCAUUUGGAUGGUUCCCAAGGGUUUCCUCGGCUUUCCAUAUGUGAUGAAGCCGAUGAUGCAGACUGGAACUUUGUUCUGUGAGAGUUAAAACAUUACAUAUCAGUUCCCCUAUCUUGGCUGCUAAAAGUCCCUAUUUCUACGAGAAAAAGGUGCUCUUAUGCAGUUAUUGAAUUUUAUGUAUAGUAGUACAUUGGCCAAUACUUCAGCAAGAAACAGUCCAACCAUUGUGUGAUGCAGCAAAGCUGUUUCUUGUUAAUAAAUUCAAGGAUAUAGC